rnacentral:rRNA from 1 species
GUGUACCAGUUGUUCUGCCAAGGGCAUCGCUGGGUAGCUAUGUGCGGACGGGAUAAGUGCUGAAAGCAUCUAAGCAUGAAGCCACCUCAAGAUGAGAUUUCCCAUUCCGCAAGGAAGUAAGAUCCCUGAAAGAUGAUCAGGUUGAUAGGUCUGAGGUGGAAGCGUGGUGACACGUGGAGCUGACAGAUACUAAUAGAUCGAGGACUUAACCUAUA